GCUUUCGUGACGCUUGAUGUGCCGCCAUAUUUGUCCACAAAAGUUUUCUUCGAGCUAGUGGUUUCAGCGCUUUUCGUUCAUCAAAAUUUGCAAAUUUCAUCCAGUUGUAAUGGAAACAAUUGCAUUAGAUCAACUCUUCCGGAAUUCGUUUAUUGUGCGCUGAUAGUUCGUCCUCUUCAAAUUUAAUUUAAUAUUUCGGAAAUCGACAGCAUCUGCUGAGUUCGGUCCAUUUUUUGCCUCAGGUUGAAAAAUUCUACAGUUAAGUAGCACAAGAUGUUUUUUGUAAGGAAAACGCCCUGCCAAUAUAACUCCUCGUUAUUCUCA